UACGAGGGGGGCGAGCGUUGUUCGGAAUUAUUGGGCGUAAAGGGUGCGUAGGCGGUUUGGUAAGUCUGAUGUGAAAUCUAUGGGCUCAACUCAUAGUCUGCAUCGGAAACUGCCGGGCUUGAGUGUGGGAGAGGUGAGUGGAAUUCCUGGUGUAGCGGUGAAAUGCGUAGAUAUCAGGAGGAACACCUGUGGCGAAAGCGGCUCACUGGACCAUAACUGACGCUGAGGGACGAAAGCUAGGGGAGCAAACAGG
rnacentral:rRNA from 1 species